GGGUCAGUAGGUUGGUCGUGCCACCGGUACGUACUGGUCUCACUGAUUCCUCCUCCUGAAGAACCGUAAUGCCAGUAAUUUGGUGUUGCGGGGAAACAGGACUGUUACUUUGAAAAAAUUAGAGUGUUUAAAGCAAGCUAACGCUUGAAUACAUUAGCAUGGAAUAAUGAAAUAGGACGAUCGAUCCUAUUUUGUUGGUUUCUAGGAUUGACGUA
rnacentral:rRNA from 1 species